rnacentral:rRNA from 1 species
GUGGGGAAUAUUGGACAAUGGGGGGAACCCUGAUCCAGCCAUGCCGCGUGUGUGAAGAAGGCCUUUUGGUUGUAAAGCACUUUAAGCGAGGAGGAGGCUACUUAGAUUAAUACUCUAGGAUAGUGGACGUUACUCGCAGAAUAAGCACCGGCUAACUCUGUGCCAGCAGCCGCGGUAAUACAGAGGGUGCAAGCGUUAAUCGGAUUUACUGGGCGUAAAGCGCGCGUAGGUGGCCAAUUAAGUCGAAUGUGAAAUCCCCGAGCUUAACUUGGGAAUUGCAUUCGAUACUGGUUGGCUAGAGUAUGGGAGAGGAUGGUAGAAUUCCAGGUGUAGCGGUGAAAUGCGUAGAGAUCUGGAGGAAUACCGAUGGCGAAGGCAGCCAUCUGGCCUAAUACUGACACUGAGGUGCGAAAGCAUGGGGAGCAAACAGGAUUAGAAACCCGUGUAGUCC